CCGCACUAGACGGGGUGGUAGCGGUGCCCUGUAACCUGCAAGCCGCUAAGCAGGGUCGAAGGCCGCUCUGAGGAUUUCUCCCCUGGAGGCCUGGCCCCAAUAAGUGGUAAUGACAGCCGGGUCUCGCGCAAUGGAGCUCUGUGAACCCCGUCAGGUCCGGGAGGAAGCAGCGGUAAGCAGAUGUUUCCAUGUGCCGCGAGGGAGCCUGGCUCGAGCUAACUGUUGGGGUAACGCUCCGGGGGAGGAAUUCGAAGACGGUGUGCGG
rnacentral:SRP_RNA from 1 species